rnacentral:rRNA from 1 species
UACGUAGGCAGCGAGCGUUGUUCGGAGUUACUGGGCGUAAAGGGUGUGUAGGCGGUUCUUUAAGUUUGGUGUGAAAUCUCCCGGCUCAACCGGGAGGGUGCGCCGAAUACUGAGGGACUAGAGUAUGGGAUGGGAAAGUGGAAUUCCUGGUGUAGCGGUGAAGUGCGUAGAUAUCAGGAGGAACACCUGUGGUGUAGACGGCUUUCUGGACCAUAACUGACGCUGAGACACGAAAGCGUGGGUAGCAAACAGG